rnacentral:Y_RNA from 1 species
GGCUGGUCUGAUGAUAGUGGGAACUUACUAUUAAUAACAGUGUCACUAAAGUUGAUAUACAGCCUCUCAUCACUAAAUUUGACUGGCUAUAA